GCGGCGGGGUUAAACAUGUUUAUGAGAUCUCAGCCCUUCCCCUAUACCUCUAGCCAAUGUAGAAAAGUAAACGCAUAACAAUACGCACAUUAAAAUUCAGUUGAAGAGAAGUCCGAGUCCGAUGUCAAAAGAUGUUACAAAAGAAAAUAAAUAAAAUGACAAGAAUACAAAAAUAACAACAGACUACUAGCAGUUAACUGAACAUGCCAGCUC
rnacentral:lncRNA from 1 species